UACGAAGGGGGCUAGCGUUGCUCGGAAUCACUGGGCGUAAAGCGCACGUAGGCGGAUUGUUAAGUCAGGGGUGAAAUCCUGGAGCUCAACUCCAGAACUGCCUUUGAUACUGGCGAUCUUGAGUCCGGGAGAGGUGAGUGGAACUGCGAGUGUAGAGGUGAAAUUCGUAGAUAUUCGCAAGAACACCAGUGGCGAAGGCGG
rnacentral:rRNA from 1 species